rnacentral:rRNA from 1 species
GAUGAACGCUGGCGGCGUGCUUAACACAUGCAAGUCGAACGGAGAAAGGGUAGCUUGCUAUCUUUUCUUAGUGGCGGACGGGUGAGUAACGCGUGGGUAACCUGCCCUUUGCAGGGGGAUAACAGUGAGAAAUCACUGCUAAUACCGCAUACCAACUUCUUUCGCAUGAAAGAAGUUUGAAAGAUUUAUCGGCAAAGGAUGGACCCGCGUUGGAUUAGCUAGUUGGUGAGAUAACAGCCCACCAAGGCAACGAUCCAUAGCCGGCCUGAGAGGGUGAACGGCCACACUGGGACUGAGACACGGCCCAGACUCCUACGGGAGGCAGCAGUGGGGAAUAUUGCACAAUGGGCGAAAGCCUGAUGCAGCGACGCCGCGUGAAGGAUGAAGGUCUUCGGAUUGUAAACUUCUAUCAGCAGGGAAAAAGGGCUUAUAGCCUAUGACGGUACCUGACUAAGAAGCCCCGGUAACUACGUGCCAGCAGCCGCGGUAA